GUUUUAAGGGCAUUUGGUGGAUACCUUGGCGCAUAGAGGCGAUGAAGGACGUGGCAUGCUGCGAAAAGCUUCGGGGAGUUGCAAGCAAACUUUGAUCCGAAGAUAUCCGAAUGGGGAAACCCACCCCUUUAGGGGUAUCCUAACCUGAAUACAUAGGGUUAGGAGGCGAACCUGGCGAACUGAAACAUCUAAGUAGCCAGAGGAAAGGACAUCAACCGAGACUCUGUUAGUAGCGGCGAGCGAACGCGGACCAGGCCAGUGGCCAGAGAGAAGAAACCGGAACCGUCUGGAAAGUCGGGCCGUAGCGGGUGACAGCCCCGUACGGGAAGCAUGAUCGGACGUAUUAAGUAGGGCGGGAC
rnacentral:rRNA from 16 species